rnacentral:tRNA from 1 species
AGGAAUUUAGGUUAGCCCAGACCAAGAGCCUUCAAAGCCCUAAGCAAGUACCCAGUACUUAAUUCCUG